UGCGUGGAACGAUUCCUAAAGAGCCUGGUAUGAGAAAAGCCUGGCAUUGGGCAAAGUGCGGAAGCUCUGCUGCUAAAACCUGGCGGCCAGGUUAGAGUGAAGCUGCAAGGUGGACGCUGAGCUAUGGAUUCCUGUUCAGAGGCCACAUGAGUCCCAGUGCUUGGGGUGGGGCUGAGGCUGCAGAUCUGCACUAAGAGCUUCCAGCUGUCAGGGAAUAAGCGGGCCAUUUACAUGACACAAGCAGCCAUCCUGUGAAAUGACGCAGCGCACUGAGGAUGGAAGAUUAGCCCUGAGCUAACAUCUGCAGCUAAUCCUCUUCUUUUUGCUGAGGAAGACUGAUGCUGAGCUAACAUCUGUGCCCAUCCUGCUCUGCUCUAUAUAUGGGACACCUGCUGCAGCAUGGCUCGACAAGUGGUAGGUAGGUCUGCACCCAGGAUCUGAACCUGGGAACCCUAGGCGGCUGAAGCAGAACGUGCAAACUUAACCAGUGUGACCAGGCUGGCCCCAUUUUUGUUCUCUCUUGAAUGCUCUUUGUCCCGCUGUUGAAAUCCAAGGCGCUGUUCAGGGCCCAGCUCUGGGAAGUCUCCCCCACUGCUCAC
rnacentral:lncRNA from 1 species